rnacentral:rRNA from 1 species
CUUGCUUCUCUUGAGAGCGGCGGACGGGUGAGUAAUGCCUAGGAAUCUGCCUGGUAGUGGGGGAUAACGUUCGGAAACGGACGCUAAUACCGCAUACGUCCUACGGGAGAAAGCAGGGGACCUUCGGGCCUUGCGCUAUCAGAUGAGCCUAGGUCGGAUUAGCUAGUUGGUGGGGUAAUGGCUCACCAAGGCGACGAUCCGUAACUGGUCUGAGAGGAUGAUCAGUCACACUGGAACUGAGACACGGUCCAGACUCCUACGGGAGGCAGCAGUGGGGAAUAUUGGACAAUGGGCGAAAGCCUGAUCCAGCCAUGCCGCGUGUGUGAAGAAGGUCUUCGGAUUGUAAAGCACUUUAAGUUGGGAGGAAGGGUUGUAGAUUAAUACUCUGCAAUUUUGACGUUACCGACAGAAUAAGCACCGGCUAACUCUGUGCCAGCAGCCGCGGUAAUACAGAGGGUGCAAGCGUUAAUCGGAAUUACUGGGCGUAAAGCGCGCGUAGGUGGUUUGUUAAGUUGGAUGUGAAAUCCCC